rnacentral:tmRNA from 2 species
GGGGGCGACUUGGCUUCGACGUGGGUUGCAAAGCAGAGUAGGGCAUACCGAGGACCCGCAACCUCGUAAAUCAGCUGGAAAAAACUAGUCGCAAACGACGAAAACUACGCUUUAGCUGCUUAAGGCAGCUAGACCUCACACCACGCUGUCUGUGGAGUGGCUCAAGGCCGUUUAUCCUCGGUAGAUUUUACCGGGGGAAAGGCUGAGAUGAGUGAGGUAAUCUACACAGAAUCGUGUCGUGCAGGGUCACUUUGCACGAAGCUAAAACCAAGGUGACUAGUCCCGUACCAGCCCGCCGACUGGCGUGUCCGGGAUUAAAUCAAACAGUCAGGCUAAGUAUGUAGAACUGCCUGUAGAGUGCUUGCGGACGGGGGUUCAAUUCCCCCCGCCUCCACCA